ensembl:lncRNA
CUUUGUGACCUCACGGACUGUAGCCCACCAGGCUCCUCUGUCCAUGGGAUUCUCCAGGCGAGAGUGCCCCGUGCCCUCCUCCAGGGGCUCUUCCCAACCCAGGGAUCAAAAGCACGUCUCUUCAUCUCCUGCACGGGCAGGGUGGAGGACAGAAGUCAGCCCUGGGCCAGCAGAGGGAAUGGACCUGAGCUACAGAACGACGGGGGCACCGCCGUGGCGGAGGCGGACACGAGUGUCACACCGCGGAUGUGGGCUGAGCGGUGGCUGUGAUGCUCUCCCUGCCAACUUGCUCAAGCUACUUCAUUUCUGCAAGUCUCUUUUCCUGUCCUGGAAACAGAGGUCAUAGUGGCAGACUGGGAGUUGUGACCCCAGGGACUGUAGCCCACCGUCUAUUUCUGCAGGGAUCACACAUACUCAUCGGCAGUGUCCCUGGUGGCACAGACGGUUUCCAGGCCCCAGAGGCCCACCGUGGCCUCACCGGGCCCUGGCACUCGGGAGCUGUACUGGACCUGGCAGCUGAGAGGUAACACGUGGCCGCCUAUCACGGACCCACUGCUUACUUCACGGAACAGCCUCCAUCGAUUUCUAUUUAAUAAUGACUGAUGUAGCUCUCAGGCCCUUUCUCUGAUGAAUCCAAGCUGUCCGUCAAAUAGAGAUGGGCCAGGAGACAAGCAUUAUUAUUCCAAAGCACAGUCAUUAGAUUAAUAGACGCUCCAGCAACACCAUUAACGGGCAGAGACUCAAUGAAGGAGCAGACGCGAGCCUGCCUCCAGAUAAGAGAAUGGCUUCUCAAGCAUGUGUCCUAUUUAUAGACCAUACGUGUUCAUUCCA